AGUGAACGCUGGCGGUAGGCCUAACACAUGCAAGUCGAACGGCAGCACAGUAAGAGCUUGCUCUUACGGGUGGCGAGUGGCGGACGGGUGAGGAAUACAUCGGAAUCUACUUUUUCGUGGGGGAUAACGUAGGGAAACUUACGCUAAUACCGCAUACGACCUACGGGUGAAAGCAGGGGAUCUUCGGACCUUGCGCGAUUGAAUGAGCCGAUGUCGGAUUAGCUAGUUGGCGGGGUAAAGGCCCACCAAGGCGACGAUCCGUAGCUGGUCUGAGAGGAUGAUCAGCCACGCUGGAGCUGAGACACGGGCCAGACUCCUACGGGAGGCAGAGGUGGGGAAUAUUGGACAAUGGGCGCAAGCCUGAUCCAGCCAUACCGCGUGGGUGAAGAAGGCCUUCGGGUUGUAAAGCCCUUUUGUUGGGAAAGAAAAGCAGCAGGUUAAUACCCCGCUGUUCUGACGGUACCCAAAGAAUAAGCACCGGCUAACUUCGU
rnacentral:rRNA from 1 species